AAAUUGAAGAGUUUGAUCAUGGCUCAGAUUGAACGCUGGCGGCAGGCCUAACACAUGCAAGUCGAACGGUAACAGGAAGAAGCUUGCUUCUUUGCUGACGAGUGGCGGACGGGUGAGUAAUGUCUGGGAAACUGCCUGAUGGAGGGGGAUAACUACUGGAAACGAUAGCUAAUACCGCAUAACG
rnacentral:rRNA from 1 species